rfam:Smittium culicis strain GSMNP scaffold-502, whole genome shotgun sequence.
GCGUAGAUGGUUUAGUGGUAUAAUUGCCGCCUGCCACGCGGCAGACCCGGGUUCGAUUCCCGGUCUACGCA